rnacentral:rRNA from 1 species
AAGGGGAGCAAUCCCUGAGUAAAGUGGCGCACGGGUGAGUAACACGUGACUAACCUACCCUUGAGUGGGGGAUAACUGAGGGAAACCUUAGCUAAUACCGCAUAAUACCUACGGGUCAAAGGAGCAAUUCGCUCGAGGAGGGGGUCGCGGCCGAUUAGUUAGUUGGCGGGGUAAUGGCCCACCAAGACGAUGAUCGGUAUCCGGCCUGAGAGGGCGCACGGACACACUGGAACUGAAACACGGUCCAGACUCCUACGGGAGGCAGCAGUGGGGAAUUUUGCGCAAUGGGGGAAACCCUGACGCAGCAACGCCGCGUGGAGGAUGAAGUCCUUCGGG